UACGGAAGGCAGCAGUGGGGAAUAUUGCACAAUGGGCGAAAGCCUGAUGCAGCUAUGCCGCGUGUAUGAAGAAGGCCUUAGGGUUGUAAAGUACUUUCAUCGGGGAGGAAAAAAACAAAACUAAUAAUUUUAUUUCUUGACGUUACCCGAAAAAGAAGCACCGGCUAACUCCGUGCCAGCAGCCGCGGUAAUACGGAGGGUGCUAGCGUUAUUCGGAAUUAUUGGGCGUAAAGAGCGCGUAGGCUGAUUAGUAAGUUAAAAGUGAAAUCCCAAAGCUUAACUUUGGAAUUGCUUUUUAAAACUGCUAGUCUAGAGAUUGAAAGAGGAUAGAGGAAUUCCUAGUGUAGAGGUGAAAUUCGUAAAUAUUAGGAGGAACACCAGUGGCGAAGGCGUCUAUCUGGUUCAAAUCUGACGCUGAGGGCGCGAAGGCGUGGGGAGCGAAACAGGGAUUAGAUACC
rnacentral:rRNA from 1 species